rnacentral:lncRNA from 1 species
GAUUGUGCCACUGCACUCCAGCCUGGGUGACAGAGUGAGUUUGUCUCAAAAAAAAAAAAAAAAAAAAAAAGAAAUGUGACUCGACAAAAAGGAUAGAAUCUAAUGUAAAUAGGCUGAGUGGGGAAACCCAGCCAGCCCCGUCUGUCUAGAUUCUUCUCAGCCUGUCCGAGCACACAUUCCUUUCUUCUGGAUAUGGGGCAGGAUCCUUUCUGGAACGGGGAUCUUAUGACCUGUAGUCAAACAAGGAUCUUGCUGCGUCACUCAGGCUGGAGUGCAGUGGCACAAUCACGGCUCAUUGCAACCUCGACUCCCCAGGUUCAAGCAAUCCUCCCACUUCAACCUCCAAAGUAGCUAGGACUACAGGUGUGGCCAUGCCUAGCUAACUUUUAAAAUUUGUUCUAGAGAUGGGGUCUCACUCUAUUGCCCAGGCUGGUCUUGAACUCCUGAGCUCAAAUGUCCCACCAACCUUGUGCUCCCAAAGUGCUGGGAUUAUGAGUGUGAGCCACUGCAUCUGGUGGCUUCCUUUUUUUAAUCCCAAUUUUUUAUUCCUUAAAAAUUUUUCCAGGUGUACAUUGUAAAAUUUGUUUUCUAUUUUACCAUUUUUCCAAAUGGCUACCCAGUUGUCCCAACAGCAUAUAUUAAAUAUUCUAUCUUCUCUAUUGAUGUGAAUUGCCAUCCUUAACAUUUACUAAAUUUGCUUAUUAUUGAUUGAUUUUGGAGAAGGGGUCUCACUUUGUCAUACAGGCUGAAGUGCAGAGGUGUAAUUACAACCCACUGCAGCCUCUACCUUCUGGGCUCAAGUGAUCCUCCCCACUCAGCCUCCUGAGUAGCUGGGACCACAGGCAUGUGCCACCAUGACUGGCUAAUUUUUAAAUUUUUUGUAGUGAUAAGGUCUCUCUAUGUUGCUCCAGCUGGUCUCCAACUCCUGGGUUCAAGGAAUGCUCCCACCUCUGCCUCCCAAAGUGCUGGGAUUACAGACAUGACCCACCGUGCCCAGGCUGCUUAUUUUUAUUUUUAUUUUUUUGAGACAAGAUUUUGCUCUGUCACCCAGCCUGGAGUGUGUAGUGGCAUGAUCUCAGCUCACUGCACCCUCGACUUCCUGAGCUCAGGUGAUUCUCCCACCUCAGCCUUCUAAGUAGCUGGGACUACAGGCCCACAUCACCACGCCAGGCUAACUUUUGUAUUUUUAGUAGAGACAGGAUUUCAGCGUGUUACCCACGCUGGUCUCAAACUCCUGGGCUCAAGCAAUCCUCCCACCUCGGGCUCCAAAAAUGCUAGGAUUACAGGCGUGAGCCACCCAGCCUGGCCUGCUUAUGAAUUUUGGUCUAGUUUUAGACAUCCUAUUCUACAACUUGGCUAGUCUGUUUAUUCAUGUAUCAGCUGUUUUAACUAUUAAGGUGUUAUAUGUCCUAUCUAGAAGGGCCAAUCCUCCUGUGUUGCUCUUCAUUGUUAUAAUUUUCCUGGUUGUUUUUGCUUAUUUAUCUUUUCAAAUGAAUGUCAGUGUUAACUUGCCUGGUUUAAAAAACCGUAUUUUAUUGAAGUUGUAUUAAGAGAAUAAAAAACUGUGGAUAAUUAAAAUUUUUAUGGUAUCAAUUUUUUUCUCAUUCUAACAAAAAGUAUGACUUUCCUUUUUUUUUUUUUUUGUCUUGCGAUGGAGUCUCACUCUGUCGCCCAGGCUGGAGUGCAGUGGCUCGAUCUCAGCUCGCUGCAGCUGUGUCCAGAACUGGUGGGUUCUUGGUCUCACUGACUUCAAGAAUGAAGCCGCGGACCCUUGUGGUGAGUGUUACAGUUCUUAAAGGCGGCGUGUCUGGAGU